GAUGAAGAACGUAGCAAAAUGCGAUAAGUAAUGUGAAUUGCAGAAUUCAGUGAAUCAUCGAAUCUUUGAACGCACAUUGCGCCCGCCAGUAUUCUGGCGGGCAUGCCUGUUCGAGCGUCAUUUCAACCCUCAAGCCCUCGGGUUUGGUGUUGGGGAUCGGCGAGCCUUUCUGGCAAGCCGGCCCCGAAAUCUAGUGGCGGUCUCGCUGCAGCCUCCAUUGCGUAGUAGUAAAACCCUCGCAACUGGAACGCGGCGCGGCCAAGCCGUUAAACCCCCAACUUCUGAAUGUUGACCUCGGAUCAGGUAGGAAUACCCGCUGAACUUAAGCAUAUAAUAAGCGGAGGA
rnacentral:misc_RNA from 1 species